rnacentral:lncRNA from 1 species
UUUUUUUAAACAGUUUUGAAAAAUAGAAUGGACUCGAUUUUAGCAUGGGCUAAUAAAAAUUUAGGAAAGUAGCCCAAAUCUAAAAAUAAUUUCAGCAGCCCAGGAAAAAAUACUGCAAAUGGAAGGCCCAAUUAAAUCAAUCACCAACCCGAGAGCCCAAUUACUCACAAAUCACAGUCCAAUUAAAAACUCACUAAGCUUCAACCACAGAAGCCCUACAGCAACCGUCCGC